UAACAGGGAGCUUUGGAGAGUAUGACAGUCUUCCCUUUGUUUUUUUCAGGAAUCUCCAGAGCUUGCACCAUUUUUAGUGCCAUCAAAGAAGGAAGGAUUAAUGUCAACCACCUCCUCCUCACCUUGCACACACUGGGAAUCCUUCUGGCUGCUCCUGAGAUGCAGAAGGCACUCAGGUGCAUUCCUGUGGAUGCGCAUGGCAAUCUGGACUUUGCUGACUUCCUGGACAUUGUGAA
rnacentral:lncRNA from 11 species